AGACGCUCCUCAAGGCAAGGCGACAGCUCUUUUCAACUGGCGGUCUGGUGGCAUGCAGAUUGAUCGCAAUGAGGAUGUGCUGCUUGUGCUUCUUUUGCUGGCAACCAUAAGCAUGUCCGUGUCGGAUAUGCUCGGCAAAGGCAUUCCUUCGUGGACGAAUACGAGGAAACGAGUGAUCAUCUCAGAAGAAGAACAAGAUCAUUGGGGUGCUGUGACAGUUGAUCGCCGUCGCCGCAAGGACGGAGGCGGA